GAGGACGCCGGCUGGGCUGGAGCCGCGCGGCCGUCAAGCGCGCCCGCGAGCGUGCCACGCCGCCGUAAAGAGCGGCGUGGAGCGCGGCAGCCGCCCGCCAGGGGGCGCUCCCGGGGCAGCCGGCGGGAGACCCCGGAGGGGAGCCUGGCCGGCUGAUUCCCUCCCCCCCCCCGACGCGGAGGGGCGCGAUCCUGGCGGGACCGGGGGCGGGGGGGGCUGGAUGCAAAAGGCAGGCCGGGCCCUGCCAGGAGGAGAAGGGGGGGGGGCGCCAGAUGCCGCUGCUGAAGGCGCACAGCUGCCCCUGCGCGCGUGGACAGCAGAGAGGCAUUCUCAGAAGUGCAGCCGGCAUGCCUCUUCUGCUUCUGGUGGCAUCCCCACACCGGCUCCUUCCAGUCCACUCGGUGUUUGUUUGUUUUUUACACUGUGAGCCCUUCGCGGGCAGGCGGCAGUUCCCUGCUGCUGCUGCUUCUUUUCCUGUACAAACCACUUUGAAAACAGGGAAGCCAGAACGCGCGGGGUCUAAGUAGUAGUGGUAGUAGAAGAGCAGCUCCCAUAUCCUCCCCCCGCCCCCCCACCAGCCAGCCCCCUUCCCUAGAGACUGCCUGGGGGAGCGCCGGGGCCCUGCCCUGGGGAGUGGGGCACCACCUGGGCAUUUCCUGCAAUGUUCGGGGCUGGGAGGAGGCGGGGGCCAGAGAGGCGCUUGUGCCUGGGGGGGGGGGUUGGCGACAGGCUCAUCAGGAAUCGGUGCAGAGGAAGCCCUGCGCUGGGCCUGGGAAAGGGCUCCAACUGGCCCCUGGUGACCUUGCUGCCCUGGUGGUCCUUGGAAAGGGAAAAGAGAUCCUUGCUCACCAACAGAAAUUGGCCUGCAGCAGGAUCCCCCCCAGGGCCAGGAAGGAGUCUGGAGGCCGGGUGUACUAUAAGGGUCAGCCCGCUCCACAUCCUCCUCCUCCUCCUCCUCAUAGGGCUGGGAGGCCUCUCUCAUUGGAUGCAGGCCCCACAUCUACUCUGGGCGGGUGGGGGGGGAGGCAUCUCCCAUUCCCAUUGGUGGGAGACGGAGAUGAUAACUUUUCAGCCACUUCCUGAGAGAGACCCACUCAUCCUCCGAGCAACUCAAAACGUGAUGGCAGGGCCUCUCCUCACUGUUUCCCCCAUUUUCUUACUUACUGUUAUUAAUGUAUAAUAAUAGUCAGUAAAGCUAUUCCUUUUCAAUGCACAGUUCUCAAAGUGGUUGACAUAGAAGAAGACGACGACGAUGGUCCGCUGUCUCCAGUCUAAGGGCUCACAGUCUAAAAGGAAACACAAGAGGACCCCGGCUACUGCCCCAGGGCCAAUCCGACCCGCUGCAGAAGGUGCUUGAGGAACUGUACUGGUGAUGAGGAAUGUGGGCGCGGGAAGAAGUGCUGCCGGUGGGGCUGCGUUUCCAACUGUGUAGAUGGAGAACCAGAAGCCCCUGCUUCACACCUCCAUCAAGGUUCCAGUGAAACUGAGGAAAUAGCACAGUCCUGAUGAAAUUAACUCAACAAAUCUUGGCUCUGAGAAGAGAUAAAUGACUGCAAUGAUGGCAUCAUCUGCCUGCCCUUUUACCGAGGAUUCAGAUAAAGCACCAGCUGUGACAAAUUCAUGCCUAUAGUGGUUGGGCAAAAAUCGACAUAUUCUGGGGAACAUCACAAUUUAAGUUAUUGGGAAGCUGGGCGCCCAGCACUAACCAAGGAGACAUAAGGACUUGUGGGGUGUUUUUUUAAGGAGACAAAGCAGGGAAUCGAUAUCUUCGGAGUAGAAGAGCAGCCCCUCAGUGAACAAAUGGAAUUGUAAGUCGGGCUCAUGCGGAACAACAAGCAAAAGUGUCAAUUUGCGCAUUUGAGUAGA